CCUACGGGAGGCAGCAGUCGAGAAUCAUUCACAAUGGGGGAAACCCUGAUGGUGCGACGCCGCGUGGGGGAAUGAAGGUCUUCGGAUUGUAAACCCCUGUCAUGUGGGAGCAAAUUAAAAAGAUCGUACCACAAGAGGCAGAGACGGCUAACUCUGUGCCAGCACCCGCGGUAAUAAAGAGUCCUCAAGCGUUGUUCGGAAUCACGGUGCGUAAAGCGUGCGUAGGCUAUUUCGUAGGUCGUGUGUGAAAGGCGCGGGCUCAACCCGCGGACGGCACAUGAUACUGCGAGACUAGAGUAAGGGAGGGGGAACCGGAAUUCUCGGUGUAGCAGUGAAAUGCGUAGAUAUUGAGAGGAACACUAGUGGCGAAGGCGGGUUCCUGGACAGUAACUGACGCUGAGGCACGAAGGCCAGGGGAGCGAAAGGGAUUAGAUACCCUAGUAGUC
rnacentral:rRNA from 1 species